rnacentral:rRNA from 1 species
GAUGAACGCUGGCGGCGUGCUUAACACAUGCAAGUCGAACGGAAAGGCCCAAGCUUGCUUGGGUACUCGAGUGGCGAACGGGUGAGUAACACGUGGGUGAUCUGCCCUGCACUUCGGGAUAAGCCUGGGAAACUGGGGCUAAUACCGGAUAGGACGAUGGGUUGGAUGCCAUUGUGGAAAGGUUUUUCGGUGUGGGAUGAGCUCGCGGCCUAUCAGCUUGUUGGUGGGGGAAUGGCCUACCGAGGCGUCGACGGGUGGCCGGCCUGAGAGGGUGUAGGGCCACAUUGGGACUGGGGUACGGCCCAGACUCCUACGGGAGGCAGCAGGGGGGAAUAUUGCACAAUGGGCGCAAGCCUGAUGCAUCGACGCCGCGUGGGGGAUGACGGCCUUCGGGUUGUAAACUCCUUUCGCUAGGGACGAAGCGUUUUUGUGACGGUACCUGGAGAAGAAGCACCGGCUAACUACGUG